CCCCAGGCCACUGACAGCAGGCAUCAUAAUGCCCCGCCCAGCUUCCGGCACCUUUCGCCACUCCGGCAGAACACACAAAACGACACAGCAUUGCGAUCUCCCCAGCAUGCAGAGUCUGAUGUCGAGGCCUUCCCUAUAGAUGAUUCCAGAGACUCUGUGAGGCCACUAUUACAAGGCAAGUUCGAACAUCUUGGAAUUUCAGAUUUUACAUGGUAUAAAUGGUAAAUGGCCUAUAUUUGUACAGCGCUUUAACUAGUCUCUAAGGACCCCAAAGCGCUUUACACAUUCAGUCAUCCACCCAUUCACACACACAUUCACGCACUGGUGAUGGCAGCUACAUAUACAAAUAUCACAUAUAUGUGACAGGCAAAAACUAGCAAACACUUUUAGCAGUUAGAACAACUUAUACUUGAAUGCAGAAUGUUACACCAUCACUUAUGGAUAUAUUAGUUUUUCGCCUCUCACUGCUUAAGCCAUUAAUCUUUCUAGAAUUGUUCUUUGAAACAGAUGCGACCUCACAAAAGAUGUUAACUAUGCUGUCAGACCUGACGAGAUCUCUUAACGAACUCCGUGAGGAGGUCAGAGCCAUCCACCAUCCCUGCUGCAAUGACUCUGUAGAUGCUGGGGUACUGCCUCUGGAUUUGCCCUUGCACAACAUUGAGGAGCUAAACAAUGCAGAGGCAGCUCUUCAAUGACAAGAGGCAAAUAAGGCAAUGGUGAGACGCUUUGCCUUGAUUGGAGGGACCACACUGGAGGUGCGAGUCCGCCGUGUAAUGGCUUAUGCCAUCACAAACGAGCUGGCCUCGGUACUCAACUGGGUAAGGAAAAAAACCAAGGACCAGACAAAGCAAAAAAGGGCAUUUAAAGAUACAGCGCUGUGCAGAUGCAUAUUUGAUGGCCUGACGCAGCAGUUAGGGGCGAACUCUAUGUCCGAGUUUGUCUUUGCACAAGCAGUCCAGAAAUGGCUCCGAUACGCCCCAGAUCGUAUGGGUGGUGCAGGACGCACAUCAUCCAUCCUGGAGUAAAAAUUACAAACC